AACGAACGCUGGCGGCAUGCCUGACACAUGCAAGUCGAACGAGACCUUCGGGUCUAGUGGCGCACGGGUGCGUAACGCGUGGGAACCUGCCCUUAGGUUCGGAAUAACUCCCCGAAAGGGGUGCUAAUACCGGAUAAUGUCUUCGGACCAAAGAUUUAUCGCCUUUGGAUGGGCCCGCGUUGGAUUAGCUAGUUGGUAGGGUAAAAGCCUACCAAGGCGACGAUCCAUAGCUGGUCUGAGAGGAUGAUCAGCCACACUGGGACUGAGACACGGCCCAGACUCCUACGGGAGGUAGCAGUGGGGAAUAUUGGACAAUGGGCGAAAGCCUGAUCCAGCAAUGCCGCGUGAGUGAUGAAGGCCUUAGGGUUGUAAAGCUCUUUUACCCGGGAUGAUAAUGACAGUACCGGGAGAAUAAGCUCCGGCUAACUCCGUG
rnacentral:rRNA from 1 species